rnacentral:rRNA from 1 species
AGAUUGAACGCUGGCGGCAUGCCUUACACAUGCAAGUCGAACGGCAGCACGGGUGCUUGCACCUGGUGGCGAGUGGCGAACGGGUGAGUAAUACAUCGGAACAUGUCCUGUAGUGGGGGAUAGCCCGGCGAAAGCCGGAUUAAUACCGCAUACGAUCCAUGGAUGAAAGCGGGGGACCUUCGGGCCUCGCGCUAUAGGGUUGGCCGAUGGCUGAUUAGCUAGUUGGUGGGGUAAAGGCCUACCAAGGCGACGAUCAGUAGCUGGUCUGAGAGGACGACCAGCCACACUGGGACUGAGACACGGCCCAGACUCCUACGGGAGGCAGCAGUGGGGAAUUUUGGACAAUGGGCGAAAGCCUGAUCCAGCAAUGCCGCGUGUGUGAAGAAGGCCUUCGGGUUGUAAAGCACUUUUGUCCGGAAAGAAAUCCUUGGCUCUAAUACAGUCGGGGGAUGACGGUACCGAAGA